rnacentral:rRNA from 1 species
GGUUCAUUCUGGACAGGAGCCGGAGGGGGGAUAUUUGUCGAGGGGGGGAGCGAAAUUCUAAUCCUGACUCAGGAGGUGGUGACAAAUAUUUCUUCGGGUUUCGGUGUGAUUGUAAUGAGGGUAUUCCAACCGAACCACUAUACGAUUAGAGGGGAAGUCUGGUGCCAGCAUCCGCGGUAAUUCCAGCUCUAAUAGCGUAUAUUAAAGUUGCUGCAGUUAAAAAAGUCUCGUAGUUGGAUUUAAGGAUUGGGUACUCUCUCAGAGUAUGCACCCUACUAGUCUUCGGACUGUUACUGUGAGAAAAUUAGAGUGUUUCAGCAGGCUUUCCCCAGAAUACAUUACCAGGGAAAACGAAGCAUUUAGAAUCUUGGUUAACCCAAAAUACGAUUAAUAAAACAGUUGGGGGCAUUACCAUUUACUGCCACCUCAAAUUUCUGGAUUUGUUGGGACUGCGUAGCCCCACCCUUCCCAACGCACCUUUCAUUAAUAAAGGACAAGAUGGGGAUCCAGGCGUUCGCAUCCUGUCCGUAUCCUAUCUUAUAACUAUGCGCUAGGGAUUGGGAGUGGGCUCAACGCAUUCCGUACCUUAUUGAUAAUCUCAUGUUUUCUGGUUCUUGGGGAAUAUGGCCCCAAGAUGACCUUAAAAAUUGACGAAGGCCCCACCGGGAGUGGACCCUGCGGCUAAUCUGACCUCACCGGAACCUUACAGUCCAAACUAAUAAGGAUGACAAAUUGAAGCUCUCCUUGAUUCUGGGGGGGGGGGACGGGCGCACUCUAAUUAG